GGGGGCCCAAACAUGCAAGUCGAACGGAGCUUAUAUUUCAGAAGUUUUCGGAUGGACGAGAGAUAAGCUUAGUGGCCCUUAGGUGAGUAACACGUGAGCAACCUGCCUUUCAGAGGGCCAUAACAGUUGGAAACGACUGCUAAUACCGCAUAACGCUGCGAUGGGGCAUCCCGAUGCAGCCAAAGGAGCAAUCCGCUGAAAGAUGGGCUCGCGGCCGAUUAGCUAGUUGGCGGGGCAACGGCCCACCAAGGCGACGAUCGGUAGCCGGACUGAGAGGUUGAUCGGCCACAUUGGGACUGAGACACGGCCCAGACUCCUACGGGAGGCAGCAGUGGGGGAUAUUGCACAAUGGAGGAAACUCUGAUGCAGCGACGCCGCGUGAGGGAAGACGGUCUUCGGAUUGUAAACCUCUGUCUUUGGGGAAGAAAAUGACGGUACCCAAAGAGGAAGCUCCGGCUAACUACGUGCCAGCAGCCGCGGUAAUACGUAGGGAGCGAGCGUUGUCCGGAAUUACUGGGUGUAAAGGGAGCGUAGGCGGGCGAGAAAGUUGAGUGUUAAAUCUACCGGCUUAACUGGUAGCUGCGUUCAAAACUUCUUGUCUUGAGUGAAGUAGAGGCAGGCGGAAUUCCUAGUGUAGCGGUGAAAUGCGUAGAUAUUAUGAGGAACACCAGUGGCGAAGGCGGCCUGCUGGGCUUUAACUGACGCUGAUGCUCGAAAGCGUGUGGAGCAAACAGGAUUAGAUACCCUGGUAGUCCACGCUGUAAACGAUGAUUACUAGGUGUGGGGGGACUGACCCCUUC
rnacentral:rRNA from 1 species